GUGCUUCCCGACCUCCCAUGCGCCUGCAGCCCCCAACCACCCUCAAGGCCCCAUCACGUUGGCCCUCCAUUCUCCAGACUCUCCAGCCACCCUUUCUCCGCAGCCCUUCACGCUUCCCUUGUCCCUGGGGGCCUUACGUGGGCAGGUUGUACAGGGGCGUCAUACGGAAACAGGCCACGACUGCCCGCCGGCGCUGUUUGGACAAAAGCUUGUGCCACACGGCCUUCUUAGACUUGUAGUAGAGCACGGCUGACACUUCCUGGACUCUGCGCACGAUUUUCUCGGGGUCAUCGGCGUCCUCCUCGCGACCCGGGACGCCCCGGUACAGAGCCAUCUGCCAGCGCAGAGACGGGGAGCCUUCGACCUGAAGGGAGGAAGAAGGAGUGGCCGGCGUGAGGGACCCUUCCCACAGUGUCCGCCGGAUGUCCCCUUUCCGUUUUUGGGAGGACUCAAUGGAGGAAGGAGGCAUACCUUUCCCUGAAGGUGAAGGUUGUUGUGCAGAAAUUCCCGGACCUCCUCAUCUGUGUCUUUCUGGGGAGACAGAGCCAGGCUGGGUCACUCUGGAGGUCCCAUCCUCCUUCCUGACCCACAACCCUUUCCUUCCAGGCCCAGCACCCCAGGAACUGAAGAGGUUUUUCUGGGGUGGGGGUGGGGGUCUGAGAGAAACAAAAGGAUGCAGAGGUUGACGGGGUCAGAAGGGGUCCUAGAGGGGCCGGAGGGUCACAGAGUCACCUUGAAGAUACAGUAAGGAUUCGAGGGGCCUCGUGGAGGUCUGGGAAGAGGCAAAGGGUGACAAGAGGAUCUCAUCAAAGGUCAAAUAUGGCCAAAGAGGGAUGACUGGGGGGUCAGAGUGGGGCAGGGAGUCUUUGAAGAUCAGAAGGGGUCAGCAGAGGUCAUGGGGGAUCACGUAGGUCAACGGAGUCACUGGUUACACAGGGGCCAAAGGGGGCAUCAGCAGGGUGGGGGUUCACUGGGGUUCUAGGACGGGGAGCCCUCAAGGACCAAGGUGAGGGGUCCAUGGAGCCCUGGAGGGCUCUCUGGCGUCCUGGCAGGACUCAGCAGUCCUGGGAGGUGCCUGAGGUUCUGAGGGAAGGGGUGUCCUGGUGGUAGCAGGGGAGAAGUCGGUGGUCUUUAGGGGUCCAGGGGGUUAGUAGGUUGUCAGGGUGUUGGUGUGGUCCUGGGGGGAGGGCUAUAGGGGUCUUGGGGCAGAAUCCUGGGAGGGUUCCUUAGAGUCCCUGAAGCUGGAAAGGAUCGGAGAGGAGGGAGAUUGUCCUUGUUGUCCCACACAAGGGGUAAGUGGGGUCCCGGGAGGCCUCCUUGAUAUCCCAGCAAGCUUAAGAGGUUCUACAGCCCGGGUAUUUUGGUCUCCAGGACAGUUGAGACCUCAGAGGUUUGGGUACAGUCCCGGGCUUGGGGUUCAUGGAUCCUGGGGAGUUAUGCAGGGUCGCAGGGCUCCCUGAGCCCCUGAGAGUCUUGGGGGCUUAGUUGGGCUUCAACAGGGCCCAGGUGUCAGCAGGGUCCUGAAGGAAAGGGAUGGUGAGCCAAGGGCUCAGCAGGAACCCAGAGGUUCAGUCUUGGCAGGGAGGGAAGGAGGGGUCAUGAGGGUCUCAGUAGGUCCCAAGGGGCUUGAAGGGGCCUUGGUGGAGGGUUCAGAGGAUCUCAGGGGCUCAUCUUGUUGGGGGGACUCUCAGGGUCUCAGCAGGUUUGGCAUGGUCCGGUGGGGGGGCAGUGGGGUCCUGCAGUCCUCAUGCGGGUCCCAGGGGUCCUAGAGCUUUUCUAGGUUUCAGUGAGGGCUCUUAGGUCUGUGGUGCCCUGGCAAUAUCUUGAACGGGGUCCUCAGGGCAUCCCAGGGGCACAGUGAGUCCUCAGCAUCCCGGAAAAGAACUCAGUGGGGUCUGAAGGGAAGGCUCC
rnacentral:lncRNA from 1 species